UUCCAUUUCCUCCGUCGCAGCACGGGAAAGGUAAAGGGCAGAUGCUUUAACCAAUCACAUUAAGAUGGUCUGCAGCCAAUCGCAAAGGAAAGUCAAGAAGCCAAACUUUAGGGAGAGCCAAAGCCAGACUCUUCUCAAGUUCAUUCAACAUACCCACACACCUUUCUGUGAGGUGGACAAAGAGGGCCAUCGCUAUUUUAUAGGUGAGGAGCUGAAACCAGAGAGAUAAAGGAAUUGUUCAUCGACGUCCAGCUUUCUUGGGACUAGGGCUGUGUCCAGGCAAAUGUUCUUUCCUCUGAUUCAACCCAGUUAAAUUUACUGUGCUCUCAGAGCACCGUUGUGAGGUUCACCGCUGUACUAUAUAAAGGAAGAUGUUAUUUGAACUCCUCUGCCCCAUAACUGAUAAGGACAUGUGCCAACUCCACUUGUAGCUAGAAGAAAACGAAGGAAAGAAAUAAACAUUGACCAUGUA